UCUUUAUCAGUGUCAUUUGGUUCAUCAAACUGUCUUUGACUUUACUAUCUUUAACAUCUUCAUCCAAAUCUGUAUGAUUUCACUGUAUAUUCACCCAUAACUGCCAGAGAUACUAUAUAAAAGAAAAGCUUGUAGAUGCGAAGAAAAGUCGUUGUUUACAGCACAAUGUGACAACUUCACAAUCCGCCAUAUUUGUGUUUGGACGGUUUCCAUGCAAAUUGUUCUUGCCCUAAAUGUAUCAUCGUGGUUCUUCGAAAAUAUUUUCUUCUGUAACACUUUCUGUUAGUAGCAUUGGUUGAUCAAGGAUAUUUAUAUUUUAUUUUUCUAAUAUGCGGGUCGUUUGUCACUGAUAAUAACUUACGUGUUUUUUUUAACAAGAUUCUCGGGAAAAUGUCGGGAUAUUUCUUAAAGGUGUACAAAAUACCCCUACACCGUGUAUGCAGCAUUCUCUCGCGCGAACUUCCGAGAGGUGGUACAAAAAGACUGAUCUUCGAUCAAUUAGUACCCGGUGUAUAAAAUAUAUUUUACUGUCAACUCAGCUUUGAAUAUUAAUUUGUCAGAAAAUAUUCGCUAAAAUAUAUUUUCAUUUUGUAAAAUAAACAAAACGUAAAUUCACAUUAAUCACAAAUUAUUUUCAAGAAUAAACAAACCGCAUUUUCUUGGUGUGGCACGAAAUAACUUUACACCGUCCUUUAUCAUCCUCUCGCGAGACUUCAUCGAGAAGCGCAAAAUAGGAGUUCAAGGAGCGGCAAUGUUUAGAGAGACUGGUGAAAUGUAAUGAAAUGCACAACUUACGCCCAAGAUUGACUCUAAUUCUUCACAUAAACCAUGUUCUCUUUCCCAAAAAUCUUGGUUUCGCUAGGAGUGCAGUAAAGGGAAUGUUGGAAGAAGUGUAGAUAUCAUGGCCACAGGCCAGUGGGCUAGAACCUUGAAGCCUGGCAAGGAUUAUGAGACUGGAAACUCCCAUUGAGACUACCAAAUGAAGAGAAAGUUUCAGACUGUUUAACUCGGACUAAGGGAAAAGAAGCAAAUUACAACAAGGAGAAUAUUGCCGAGAAAGCAAAGACAAGUGAAAAGUCGAGUGAAGAAAAAGCAAACAAGGCUUCACGAUCUGCAACUAGGCCACUGGCGAUGAAGAAGAAAAAUGUACAGCUAAAGAAGAUACAUCAGUGAUCAACUAAAGCUGGGCGACUUAUAUUGGAUUGACGAGGUGCAGGGGGGAUAUUAAUUUGGGUCUGUUUAUCUUUCUGUUUGUCAAUCUGUCUGUCUGUAACACUUCGUUCUCUUAACAUUUCCAAAAAGCCAUCAGAUAUUGCAAUGACAUUUUAUAUUAUAACUCAUUUUGACGAUCCCACUGCAGAACAUGAUUAAUCAUCAAUACAAAUUUAAUAUUGUUUAUAAAUUAAAUAUUACCCUUAUAUAUUUUGAAGUGAAAUGGUCAGAGGUCAAGGCCUCUUUCGGGGGCACAUAUUGUUUUUGCCUGUCUGUUUAUCUGUCUAUUGCCAAUUUACCUUUUGCCAUAACUUUUGAAUCAUGAGAGAUAUAGAUACUUCAUAUUGGGUAUGCUUACUCCACUUUCAAAUGAGACCAAGACCAAUGACCUUGACUGUCAUCGUUAUGCUAAAAUAUAGCCUUAUUGAAUCUUUUACUUUUGAACCAUAAGAGGUAGAGAUUUUAUAUUGAGUAUCUAUACUCCACUAAUUAAGUUCUUUCAAAUUACAUCAAGGUUAAUGACCUUGUGACUUUGACCUAUAUGUUUUUGGUUUUUUUUCAAACUUUGUUGCCACCAGGUGCAUACUGUUUUUGUUUUUUUAAUGGGGGGGGAGUGUUAUGAAUUAGUUUUGUUUGGUAUCUGAAUCUUUUAUUGUACAGAAUUCUUCAGAAGUGACGAACCCUCACCCCUACUCUCUACACUAGGUUGUUGA